rfam:Glarea lozoyensis ATCC 20868 chromosome Tnknown GLAREA2, whole genome shotgun sequence.
GCACCUGCGAAGGUCAUUUUAUCAUCUGCAUAUGAGAAAUUCGGAGUACUCUUCAAUCCACCUCGUCCUUUCCUCCACCAGGGAAAGUGUACAGGUCUGCCCGCGAGGGUUCGACGUGAUCUCGCGUCUGCAAUUGGCAUCAGAAAAGCAGGGGCAAGUCCUAUCUAUAUAUCCGCCUCGUGCGGAGACAAGGUGGUGUGCUUGUUUCCCUAUGGGAGAGCCGUUGCGAAGAUUGUGUGUGCUGCGGCAUGACACUUGAGUGCAAUACGCAGUGUGCUGGUCUCUUGGUCACUUGUGGCUGGGGGGCUGUUACAAUUCGAUUCCGAUCACUCUGUUGAGGGC